CGUGGUUUCCUGUUCCUGGUUCCCCAGAGUGCGUUUAUCUUUGUGAAUCUGACUUCCUGGUAUCCUGAUCUUGGCUUUUUCCCUGGUUAUUCCGAAUUCUGGUUCCCCUGACUUGGCUUGUUUAAACGGUAUCUGAGUAUUUCUGGCUUCCUUGACCUCGGCUUUCCCUUUGACCAUUGUCUAUCUCUAGCGUAUUAGUCCGGCCAUUCUAAGGUCCG